rnacentral:lncRNA from 1 species
GGAAAGGUGUGACCGGGGAACAGAGAAAGAAAAUGAAAAAGGAAAGAGAUUUCACUAAUAAAAAUGAACCAAGUUUAACAAUAAAUCACUAUAAUAUUGAAUAAUCGUAGGCAACACUUUUAAAACUCAUGAGUAGACAACUUACAAUACACAACGACAAGUUGUCUAACUUUCAAGUGACAUAAUUCUCAAAGCUAUUGAUUUAAAAUAUGUACAACACAUCAAUAAAGUAGAAUAGACUGAGUGUUGCAGCGGAAUAAUUCAUGUGGAUUACAUGUAUGAAGACAUGGAAAUCCUGAGCCUAAUUUAAUAUACACUGAAGGCUUUGCUCUGCUUGCUUCCAUCAACAUCACAGCUUAACCUGCAUAUUUAGAAACAUACGCAGGGCUGAGUACCAAAAAGCACUCAGUGGUCACAUGCCAAAUAACUUAAAAGCUCGCUCUUAGAGCUAUAUAUUGAACUUGCCAUCUCAAGCAUCACACAGGAGUUUUACUUAAAUAACCUGUGCACGCAAAAACUGUAAAACUUCUCUAUAAUCAUCAUAACAUCAUAUACGUCUGCAGACAUUAACAUGUAUGUACCAUAUCUACGCAUCAUAUAACUUUAAGUGUUGAGAAGUAGGCCUCCUUCUCAAACACGAUGACAAGCUAACACAAAGGUUAACUGUCAACUCUGUGUACACAAAUCCUGACUCGCUCAGGAUCCGAAUUCGUUCUUCUAUGUAGAUGGUAUCAUACAAAUCUCAAAUAUUGGCAAGUCAAUAAUUUGUAAAAUAAAUGCAUACACUCAAACUUUAUAUAAUAAAGUAUGCAUCUUUACUUCUUGAGUUAGUAAGCCCACCUGAUACGCUUAAUGAAAUAGAAGUCUUUGCUUGUUCAUUCUACACUGCCACUCGAACCUUCAUUAUAAUGAGGUUCCCACGUAAGAUUGGAUAAUAAGUAAGUAAAUAGAAAGUAAAUCUUGAAUGAAACUUCUAUCACUUGAAAGUUGCAUCCUCUAAUCUGAGUAUUCUACUUAUAUGGACUUAACUAAAAGCAAAUAGUAACAUCACAUCUCUUGGGAUAUCUCAAAUUGAGAAAAGCUUAAGAGUAAACUAAUCCAUUCUAUAUAGAUUAGCUUACAAUUAAUAACUAAACAUCAAUCACUUAGCAUAGUUCUAUUAAUAACUUGCUCAAGUAAGAAAUCUCAAAUAUGUAAUCAUAUAUGAAUCUCAACUUUGAAAUAUCAUAUAAAAUCAACCUCUUUAAAGAAAAAUACAAACUUUACAUUUUUAGAAAUCUCUCAGAGUCUAUUUUUAUUAGAAAGUUACAAAAAUACAAUACAUCAAGUGUAUGAGAAGUUAUAUCACAAAAGGCAGAAUCUGCCACUAAACUUCGCUGCUUCGCGCAGUACAUUUCAGAAAUUCGUUUGACACAUCCAAUGGUCUCGGAUUUAGCUGAAAUUUUGCAGAGAACGACUACACAUGAUGAAGUUAUUACAGUAAAAAUUUCAAGUUAUUUGGACUACGAAAACAUCAUCAAAAGCACCUCGAAACAUACUGCCCUGUCAAGCCGAAAACUGACAGCAAAGCCCCUUUGUUUCAACUUAACAUAUAAUUCAUACGUUUGUUAAAUACAAACCAUAGGAACUCAAUUACAUCAUCUU